rnacentral:rRNA from 1 species
GACGAACGCUGGCGGCGUGCCUAAUACAUGCAAGUCGAGCGGAUGGAUGGGAGCUUGCUCCCUGAUAUCAGCGGCGGACGGGUGAGUAACACGUGGGCAACCUGCCUGUAAGACUGGGAUAACUUCGGGAAACCGGAGCUAAUACCGGAUAAUCCAUUCCCUCUCAUGAGGGAAUGCUGAAGGAUGGUUUCGGCUGUCACUUACAGAUGGGCCCGCGGCGCAUUAGCUAGUUGGUGAGGUAACGGCUCACCAAGGCGACGAUGCGUAGCCGACCUGAGAGGGUGAUCGGCCACACUGGGACUGAGACACGGCCCAGACUCCUACGGGAGGCAGCAGUAGGGAAUCUUCCGCAAUGGACAAAAGUCUGACGGAGCAACGCCGCGUGGGUGAUGAAGGCCUUCGGGUCGUAAAGCUCUGUUGUUAGGGAAGAACAAGUAUCGGAGUAACUGCCGGUACCUUGACGGUACCCAACCAGAAAGCCACGGCUAACUACGUGCCAGCAGCCGCGGUAAUACGUAGGUGGCAAGCGUUGUCCGGAAUUAUUGGGCGUAAAGCGCGCGCAGGCGGUUCCUUAAGUCUGAUGUGAAAGCCCACGGCUCAACCGUGGAGGGUCAUUGGAAACUGGGGAACUUGAGUGCAGAAGAGAAGAGCGGAAUUCCACGUGUAGCGGUGAAAUGCGUAGAGAUGUGGAGGAACACCAGUGGCGAAGGCGGCUCUUUGGUCUGUAACUGACGCUGAGGCGCGAAAGCGUGGGGAGCGAACAGGAUUAGAUACCCUGGUAGUCCACGCCGUAAACGAUGAGUGCUAAGUGUUAGAGGGUUUCCGCCCUUUAGUGCUGCAGCAAACGCAUUAAGCACUCCGCCUGGGGAGUACGGCCGCAAGGCUGAAACUCAAAGGAAUUGACGGGGGCCCGCACAAGCGGUGGAGCAUGUGGUUUAAUUCGAAGCAACGCGAAGAACCUUACCAGGUCUUGACAUCCUCUGACACUCCUAGAGAUAGGACGUUUCCCUUCGGGGGACAGAGUGACAGGUGGUGCAUGGUUGUCGUCAGCUCGUGUCGUGAGAUGUUGGGUUAAGUCCCGCAACGAGCGCAACCCUUGAUCUUAGUUGCCAGCAUUCAGUUGGGCACUCUAAGGUGACUGCCGGUGACAAACCGGAGGAAGGUGGGGAUGACGUCAAAUCAUCAUGCCCCUUAUGACCUGGGCUACACACGUGCUACAAUGGGUGGUACAAAGGGCAGCAAAACCGCGAGGUUGAGCCAAUCCCAUAAAACCACUCUCAGUUCGGAUUGCAGGCUGCAACUCGCCUGCAUGAAGCUGGAAUCGCUAGUAAUCGCGGAUCAGCAUGCCGCGGUGAAUACGUUCCCGGGCCUUGUACACACCGCCCGUCACACCACGAGAGUUUGUAACACCCGAAGUCGGUGGGGUAACCGUAAGGAGCCAGCCGCCUAAGGUGGGACAGAUGAUUGGGGUG